CAGUUAAACAGUAAACACUGCUUUACAUGGGAAGGAGAACCCUGGGUAGAGGAAAAUAAGUACACAACGUUCCCAAUGUUUCCAUGAAAAGAGUCAAGACUGACUUUGUAACCAAAGCGGAAUUAUAAGCAAACUCUUGAGUGAGAGAAACUGAAAUAUUCCGCUCUCCAUCCUUCCUGGAUCCCAUCAUGAGCUACAGGAAGAUGGACAAGCAUGGAAGCCCACAGUAUUGCCGCCAUUUUCUGUCUGACAACAGCAUCUUCCAUGAGUCUUUGGAGUCAAGAGAGUUUAAAUGCCACAUUACGGGCCUUCUGCCUGCUGCGUCUGAGAUGGACGUCUUCCUGCAUCUGACCAGCGGUCAGGACACAUAGGUCAAAAACCAGUGCCACGGACUAAUACAAUUUCAUAUGUGGAUGAAUUCAUUUUCACUCUAGCAUGUGCAGCUCCGAAGACCGAGAGAAAACGAGGACACCGAGAAUUUGAAGAUGUGAAGACGUCAGAGAAAUGCAUUCAUAUUGCAAAUUGUG
rnacentral:lncRNA from 1 species